UAGGGAAUAUUGGGCAAUGGGCGAAAGCCUGACCCAGCAACGCCGCGUGCACGAUGAAGGUCUUCGGAUCGUAAAGUGCUUUUCUGAGAGAUGAGUAAGGACAGUAUCUCAGGAAUAAGCCUCGGCUAACUACGUGCCAGCAGCCGCGGUAAAACGUAGGAGGCAAGCGUUAUCCGGAUUUACUGGGCGUAAAGCGUGUGUAGGCGGUUUGGCAAGUUGGAUGUGAAAGCUCCUGGCUUAACUAGGAGAGGUCGUUCAAUACUACCGAACUUGAGGGCAUCAGAGGAAGGUGGAAUUCCCGGUGUAGUGGUGAAAUGCGUAGAUAUCGGGAGGAACACCAGUGGCGAAGGCGGCCUUCUGGGAUGUUCCUGACGCUCAGACACGAAAGCUAGGGUAGCGA
rnacentral:rRNA from 1 species